rnacentral:lncRNA from 1 species
AUUAUAUUGUAGUGAUACAAAUCAGUAUACUCUGGUUUGUUGUUAUAUAUUAUAUUACAGUUACAUGUUUAUAUAAUUGUAUCCAUUUAUAUAUCAUUAUUUUCUACUUUAUUAAUAGGGCAGUGCAAGUGCAUGGUUGACACUCUUCUAUAAUAAUUCGAUUUUUCUAAUAGAUUGGAUUUGAGUAGGCAUUCAUAUUUUCCAGCCAAACUUUCGAUAUCCCAUUUAGAGUUAUCGGUCCUUGAGAAAGAGCAAAAUCCGAUAACUCUGUAUGGGAGAUUGCAGCUAACAAGCGCGCAAUAAGUCGUAAUGCAUUUUCCAUAGGGUACCACUCAGGUGUUCCGUAUUUUUUUCCUUAAAGACUACACAAACUAGGGAAAACAGGCAGCAUGCAGUUCCUGUUACUAGAAAUGACGGUGUUUCAUAACAACCAAAAUAUAUAUAUAUAGGGUCA